rnacentral:rRNA from 1 species
GCCAGACUCCUACGGGAGGCAGCAGUGGGGAAUAUUGCACAAUGGGCGAAAGCCUGAUGCAGCAACGCCGCGUGAGUGAUGACGGCCUUCGGGUUGUAAAGCUCUGUCUUCAGGGACGAUAAUGACGGUACCUGAGGAGGAAGCCACGGCUAACUACGUGCCAGCAGCCGCGGUAAUACGUAGGUGGCGAGCGUUGUCCGGAUUUACUGGGCGUAAAGGGAGCGUAGGCGGACUUUUAAGUGAGAUGUGAAAUACUCGGGCUCAACUCGAGUGCUGCAUUUCAAACUGGAAGUCUAGAGUGCAGGAGAGGAGAAUGGAAUUCCUAGCGUAGCGGUGAAAUGCGUAGAGAUUAGGAGGAACACCAGUGGCGAAGGCGGCUUACUGGACUGUAACUGACGUUGAGGCUCGAAAGCGUGGGGAGCAAACAGGAUUAGAUACCCGGGUAC